UACGUAGGCAGCGAGCGUUGUUCGGAGUUACUGGGCGUAAAGGGUGUGUAGGCGGUUGUUUAAGUUUGGUGUGAAAUCUCCCGGCUCAACUGGGAGGGUGCGCCGAAUACUGAAUGACUUGGAGUGCGGGAGAGGAAAGUGGAAUUCCUGGUGUAGCGGUGAAAUGCGUAGAUAUCAGGAGGAACACCGGUGGCGAAGGCGGCUACCUGGACAGAAACUGACGCUGAGGCGCGAAAGCUAGGGGGAGCAAACAGG
rnacentral:rRNA from 1 species